rnacentral:rRNA from 1 species
GAUGAACGCUGGCGGCGUGCUUAACACAUGCAAGUCGAACGAUGAAGCCCAGCUUGCUGGGUGGAUUAGUGGCGAACGGGUGAGUAACACGUGAGUAGCCUGCCCUUAACUCUGGGAUAAGCCUGUGAAACUGGGUCUAAUACCGGAUAGGAGCGUCCACCGCAUGGUGGGUGUUGUAGAGAUUGAUCGGUUUUGGAUGGACUCGCGGCCUAUCAGCUUGUUGUUGAGGUGAUGGCUAACCAAGGCGACGACGGGUAGCCGGCCUGAGAGGGUGACAGGCCACACUGGGACUGAGACACGGCCGCGACUCCUACGGGAGGCAGCAGUGCGGAAUACUGCACAAUGGGCGCAAGCCUGAUGCAGCGACGCCGCGUGAGGGAUGACGGCCUUAGGGUUGUAAAACUAUUUCAGUAGGGAAGAAGCGCAAGUGACGGUAACUGCAGCAGAAGCCCCGGCUAACUACGUG